rnacentral:tRNA from 1 species
GCCUUAUUAGCUCAGUUGGUUUAGAGCGUCGUGCUAAUAACGCGAAGGUCACAGGUUCGAUCCCUGUAUGAGGCA